ACAAUAUUCGGACCGUCAGUCUACCGAUCGAUUUCACUCGCUCAAUGAAAGAUCUUCUCUUUGUCAU
rnacentral:pre_miRNA from 1 species